AAGAUUAUACUUCACAGGAUCAUUUCUGUAGUAAAUCUUAUACCAACUUUGGCUAAAACCAGAGUGGGACGGCAACCACGAUGAGGAGUUGUGGUGCUUUAUUUGAAAGCGUGAGGGAGAUUAUUUUGCUGGCAGUAAGCUUAUGCUUGUGACCACCAAUUAAUUGUCGAUGAUCGCUGGCUUGUUCUUCGGAAUGGGCUUAGAAUAAGGUGCUUUCUGAGUGGC
rnacentral:snoRNA from 1 species